rnacentral:rRNA from 1 species
GAUGAACGCUGACAGAAUGCUUAACACAUGCAAGUCUUUGGCGAAUCUGUGCUUGCACAGGCUAGCUAAGGCGGACGGGUGAGUAACGCGUAAAGAACUUGCCCUGCAGACAGGGAUAACAGACUGAAACGACUGAUAACACUUGAUACAGUUGCCGGCACGCAUGUUCCUGGCAAUGAAAAGAGAUGCUGCAGGAGAGCUUUGCGUCCUAUUAGCUUGUUGGUGAGGUGACGGCUCACCAAGGCGAUGAUCGGUAGCCGGCCUGAGAGGGUGAACGGCCACAAGGGGACUGAGAUACGGCCCUUACUCCUACGGGAGGCGGCAGUGGGGAAUAUUGGACAGUGGGGGCAACGCUGAUCCAGCAAUUCGGUGUGCACGAAGAAGGUUUUCGGAUUGUAAAGUGCUUUCAGCAGGGAAGAAGAAAGUGACGGUACCUGCAGAAGAAGCGACGGCUAAAUACGUG